GAACAACAGGGAUUGCCCUAGUAACGGCGAGUGAAGCGGCAAUAGCUCAAAUUUGAAAUCUGGCCUUUUUAAAAGGUCCGAGUUGUAAUUUGCAGAGGAUGCUUUUGGUGCGGCACCAUCCGAGUUCCCUGGAACGGGACGCCAUAGAGGGUGAGAGCCCCGUCUGGUUGGAUGCCUAAGCCUCUAUAAAGCUCCUUCGACGAGUCGAGUAGUUUGGGAAUGCUGCUCAAAGCGGGAGGUAUAUGUCUUCUAAAGCUAAAUACCGGCUAGAGACCGAUAGCGCACAAGUAGAGUGAUCGAAAGAUGAAAAGCACUUUGAAAAGAGGGUUAAAUAGUACGUGAAAUUGCUGAAAGGGAAGCGCUUAUAACCAGACGUGGGUGCUAUCAAUCACCUAGUAUUUUUACUAGGCUUAUUUGGUAGUGUUUCCCAGGCUAGCAUCGGUUUGCUAUAGGGGAUAAAGACACUUGGAACGUAGCCCCCUUCGGGGGGUGUUAUAGCCUUGUGUGUAAUGCCCUAUGGUGGACCGAGGAACGCGCAUUUAUGCAAGGAUGCUGGCGUAAUGGUUAUUAGUGACCCGUCUUGAAACACGGACCAAGGAGUCGUCCUCGUAUGCAAGUGUUUGGGUGUAAAACCCCUACGCGAAAUGAAAGUGAACGCUGGUGAGAGCCUCUUAUAAGGGGGUGCAUCACCGACCGAUCCUGAUGUGCUCGGAUGGAUUUGAGUAUGAGCAUACGGGGCCGGACCCGAAAGAAGGUGAACUAUGCCUGCGUAGGGUGAAGCCAGAGGAAACUCUGGUGGAGGCUCGCAGCGGUUCUGACGUGCAAAUCGAUCGUCAAACGUGGGCAUGGGGGCGAAAGACUAAUCGAACUUCUAGUAGCUGGUUCCGCGAGUU
rnacentral:rRNA from 1 species